GACGAACGCUGGCGGCAGGCCUAACACAUGCAAGUCGAACGGGAUCUCUAGCUUGCUAGAGUGAGAGUGGCGCAAGGGUGAGUAACACGUGGGAAUCUACCAUGGUGUCUGGGACAACUUCUGGAAACGGGAGCUAAUACCGGAUAAUCCCUUCGGGGGAAAGAUUUAUCGCACUAUGAUGAGCCCGCGGCAGAUUAGCUAGUUGGUGAGGUAAGAGCUCACCAAGGCAACGAUCUGUAGCUGGUCUGAGAGGAUGAACAGCCACACUGGAACUGAGACACGGUCCAGACUCCUACGGGAGGCUG
rnacentral:rRNA from 1 species